rnacentral:rRNA from 1 species
GACGUAGGGCGCGAGCGUUGUCCGGAUUUAUUGGGCGUAAAGCGCACGUAGGCGGUUCGUUAAGUCGGAUGUGAAAGCCCUCGGCUCAACUGAGGAAGUGCACCCGAAACUGGCGAGCUUGAGUACGAAAGAGGAUCGCGGAAUUCCCGGUGUAGAGGUGAAAUUCGUAGAUAUCGGGAGGAACACCGGUGGCGAAGGCGGCGAUCUGGGUCGAUACUGACGCUGAGGUGCGAAAGCGUGGGGAGCAAACAGG